GAAGGAAGGGCGGGGAGAAUCCAUUGGCAGCUCCGGCCGCGCCCCCGCCGGUGCGCAUGCGCGGUGUGCGCGCGGGAAGGCGCGCGGGGCCCGGGGCCGCCUGAGGCGAUGAGGGGCAGCCCGAGGCGGUGCGGGGCCGCCCGAGGCGAUGAGGGGCCGCCCGCGGCGGUGCGGGGCCGCCCGAGGCGAUGAGGGGCCGCCCGCGGCGGUGCGGGGCAGCCCGAGGCACUGGGGCGGGCCCGGGUCCCCAGUGAAUGGGACCUGCCAUCGUGUUGUGAAGUAAUUGCUGAGUUCUGAAGAGAGUGUUUGAGGCUGUGCUACUCUUCUCAGAAGAGAAAAGGAUAAAGAGAAUCAUUGUUCUAGAAGAAAAUGUAAUUUGAAAGAUACCAGGGACGCUGGGCCGUAGCAGGAUGAAGUUUCAUUAAGUAAGGAGCCGUGCUUUUUCAUUGAGUGAUUUGCUCAGUGCUCUGCAUAAUUCUGCAAGAGUUGUGGAAAGCACCCUGGUAGGAUGGAGUGCCAUAAAGGUGGAGAAGAACCAGAGAAAAGCAUGCAAACCAAUAAGAAUGGAUGUCUGCAACAGAAGAAGAAAAGAAAGAGACGUCUGAUUCUUACAGAGAACUCCUGCGGUUGAACUGAACUUUCAGGGUGAAACCCAACAUGAAGUAAAAUGAAAACAAAAGAGAGGAAUUCAAUCUCCGCUGUCGUCGCUUGAAAAGCCUGGCCCCUCUGUUGCUGAGCGUCGACAGUUCCUCCACCAUGAUAUCUCUGGGCGUGCUGACCUUCUUCCCAAGGUUCAGGCUGGGGGAGACUGCAAUGCAAUGGAUUGCCACUGGAUAUGAGUUAGAAGACCAGCAGAGUUCAGCCCUUUCUGGAGGUGCCUUUCUAGCUCACUGCAGGAACCACAGCCCUGGUGUAAUUCCAGGAAGGAAGCAGAACUCCUGGAAGCCAGCACGGCAGGGUUUGCUGCAGGCUCAUGUUUUACUCCCUACAUGGUGUAUUUCAUGUCGGCAUGCCCUGAGCACUCCCUUCUGCCCCUAGAACUGUUCUCUCCAGACUCAGCAGCAGCCCAGGAGCUGCUAACCCCGAUGUGAGAAGGGCAGGCCGGCGUUUCGGUGUCUGUCCCCUCUCUCCGUGUUUCCCGGAUCAUCUGCUCAGCAUUGCCGGGAAGGUCGGUGCGAUGCUCCCCCACACGGAGUCCCGCCCUGCGGGGUGUCGCUUUCCUCUCAUCCUCUAAACCGAGCAUUUUAUGGGCACUGCUGCUGGUCAGGAACUCACUGUGGCUUACAGGGCAUUGGGAAAACUUCUGGUUAGCAUCAAAGGCCAAGUAGCAUUUUAAAAACUGCUUUGAAAGCCCAAUUUUCCUCCCAGUAAGAUUUGUAAGAGCAGAAUUAGGUCAACAAUGAAUGCCUGUGAAAGUUGCAUCCUUCAUGCAGGAGUUUUAGAAACAGCCAGCAGCUUUCCAAUGGAAAAUAUUCUUUCCUGCUAACAAAAGAUAAUUAGAUGUAAAGAUCACCAGUGGAAUACCACUUAAAUUAUUCUUCCCUCGUGCUUUCCAGCAUUUUCUUGAAGUGGCUGCUGACGAGUGGCUACUCAGGAAAGGAAGGAUUUGCUACUCAUUGUUCUCUAAGGAUGCUAAGACACUUCCUGAAAAAUCCUUCUGGGGGUAAUGCUGAGAGGGACAGUACCCACAAACGAGGUGGGAGGGGAGGGGAAGAGAAGUGUUUCAGUCGCUUCUUGCAUACCUGGGAAAAUACAGACAGCAGGGGCUGGGAUUUGGGAAAGAUGAGCUGAUGAGAAGAAAUUUAAAGAUUCUCAAAGUUAAUUUCUUUAGAACAUUUUAGUCACUUUCAGAGUGUUGAGCAACUCCAAUUUUCUAAAAUUUAUGACAUGGUUUCAUUCCAUGAAACACUGAAUUAUGUAGUACAACCACCGAUUUCCAGAACAUGCUGUUCACCAUGCAUUCAAGCAGGGGCAAUAGGGAGCCCCUUUCAGCUGCAGCAUCCUGUGGCCUUCAGACAGCUCAGCUAUGGAACAGCAACAGGCAGGAGUCAAAGUAUGCUGAGCUAUUUCUAUGGCUGAAGAGAAGACAGCUGGUCAGCCACAAAUAUCAUUCUUACAAGUGCAGUUCCAACAGCCACGCUAUGAAUUAAAAACAGAAGAAUGCAGCUAUGACACGGGAACACUCAGCAGGUCCCCUGCUGAACCAGGAGCAGGAGCUGUGCACUCUGGGGAAGGUAAGCCCUAAUCCUCAGCUACCACUGUCCCCUGAUCCUGUCACACGAUCCAUUACUCAGCCCCAGACAACAGGUACAGACAGGCCAUGCAAAAGUCUGUCAGGAAUAAAAUGAGCACUCCUUGAGAGCACCUAGCUUUGAAGGCAGAUUGCCACUUUGAACUGAUAGGCACUUGGGGAAAGCUCCUUUGUGCAGCUUGCAGGAACUGUGAGGAAUUUCACAUGCUGUGUAGACAUCCCUGGUAGCCAGAGAGGAGUGCCUGUUUUCACCCUUUCCAGGGACACUGCUCUGGUAGCUGUCAUGAUGAAUCCUGAUCCUUUCCUGGUCCUGCCUGUGAGAGGGAGCUGCAGUAGCUCUGGGGGAGCCUUAAGUCUUUACAAGGAGUGUGGGAGUUUCAACACUUUUCGUCCUCUUCUUAUUCACACUGAAGGAAAUUCAGAGUUCACCCUGUCUGAAUUCACAGCCUGGGGAGAAGGUGCUUUCUGUAGAUGGCUCUGAACUCAGGUUGCAUUUCUUACACUGAUGCCAGUUACUGAGCAGGCAUUGGAAUAGACUGAUGUUUGUUCAGUGAGCAGUAAUGCUGACCUGCUUGCAAGUUUGCAUGAAGCUUCCCUGCUCUAAGAAACUCGAUGCAUUUUCAAAGAAAACUGAAAUUCCCUCUCACUAUUUUACAAAGGCAGAAACUGAGACCCAGAGAGCUGUGACUUCCCCCACCUCAUCUAGUGAGGUGAUAACAGCUACAGAAAUAGAACUCAUGACUUCCAGACCCUCUCCUCCUCCUGACCACUAACACAUUUUGCCACCCAAGAAGACCAUUUGCCAUGUCAUCAUCAAGGCAUAUCUGGGUAACACAGUUUCUCCAUCUAUACAGCCUUUGUUUUUUGUAACCCUCACUUCCCUAUCUGUGGGGAAUAACAACACUUCACUGCUUCAAAGGGGUGCAGAGAAUAACUGAGCUCAAGACUCUGCAGUAUGCAUAUAUGGUAGUGGACACCUUGCAAAUAUUAAUACUUACAUUUGCAGGCUGUACUAUUCAUUCUGUGCCUGACUGCUGCUGUUCAAAUUAUAUACAUUAAUUCCUUCAGCUCAAAUUCUCUGUCUUCCUUUUCCAUCCAAGCAGAGUUACAGACAUUAACAACAGGACUAUCAGAACCUCUCAGUAUAAGUCUGCAAAACGAGUGUAUUCAAAGCCAGCAUUUUCCUGGUGAUUCACUGAAUUGCACCAAAGCAUCCUGAGCAUUC